GCGGGAUAACUGCGAUGUUAAUGGUGGGUGGUCGGAAUGGUCGGGUUACACACCGUGUGAUACAAAAUGCGGACCUGGUACAAAAAUGGCCUUCCGCGGUUGUGAUAACCCACCACCACAAAACAAUGGAAUAUACUGUCAAGGGGAGGUCUCCAAAUCAGCACCCUGUAUUGUGAAACCAUGCCCGGUCGACGGGGCUUGGAAUUCUUGGAUGGAAUGGGGCGAGUGCUCAACCACUUGCGAAACGGGAUGGAGACUUCGUUCACGGACAUGCGACCAACCCGCGCCGGAGUACGGUGGGAAACCAUGUCCCGGUUCAUUCAAUGACAACAUUACAUGUU